rnacentral:rRNA from 1 species
GUAGGGAAUCCUCGGCAAUGGACGAAAGUCUGACCGAGCAACGCCGCGUGAGUGAAGAAGGUUUUCGGAUCGUAAAACUCUGUUGGUAGAGAAGAACGUUGGUGAGAGUGGAAAGCUCAUCAAGUGACGGUAACUACCCAGAAAGGGACGGCUAACUACGUGCCAGCAGCCGCGGUAAUACGUAGGUCCCGAGCGUUGUCCGGAUUUAUUGGGCGUAAAGCGAGCGCAGGUGGUUUAUUAAGUCUGGUGUAAAAGGCAGUGGCUCAACCAUUGUAUGCAUUGGAAACUGGUAGACUUGAGUGCAGGAGAGGAGAGUGGAAUUCCAUGGGUAGCGGUGAAAUGCGUAGAUAUAUGGAUGAACACCGGUGGCGAAAGCGGCUCUCUGGCCUGUAACUGACACUGAGGCUCGAAAGCGUGGGGAGCAAACAGGAUUAGAUACCCCAGUAGUCC